ACCUUUCCCUCCACCGGGUUCAGCCCCUUUCUGGGGUCACCCUGGCGGAGGCGAACCCGGAUCGCACGUUGCUUUUGUGAGUGUGUAGAGCAUCCCCCCGCACCUCUAGGCGACGACAGAGCGGGAGUCCCGCCAGAGAAGCGCGGGAGAGAUCUCUGAUGAAACUCUCGAUUGAAUCCUGCCGUGAUGGAGAUGGUAUGUUGGUGGAGCUGACGGGUCCGGGAUUGUUCAUAUUGCCUCCUACCCCCAGCUCCCUCCCUCUCACCUGGGAAGGCUGACAACCUGCCGCUGGUGGGAUUAAAUCAAUAUCAAGAACACCCUUCCUGAGCAUCCUCAAACACCGGGGGCCUACACUGAACCCCGCAAAAGGAAGUGCUGAUGAAAGAGGAUGACCAAGCAGAGAAAUUUUAGGUUGACCUUCAUCUGAGUCAUUGCCGUGGAUCCUGGCGAUUGAUUCCAGCCCAGAAAACCCAACUUCGCCGAUUGAAAAGCUGCUCUGAGUUUUCCGCUGCAAGAAGAAGCCGGCUCUUUUGAAUACAGAGCUGAAGGUCGCUACGUUUUUGAAGCCCGUUGACUUUUCUCCCGGGAGUUUUGUAACCCGUGGCGCUGCAAGUUUCUCUAUGUACCAGGAGGAAAAGAAGACCCUUCAGUUUCAGAAAGAAGAAAAGGGAAGCCAGAUGCAAACCAUUUCAAGAAGGGAUAUUCUCAACCCCAUUCCAACUGCACUUGGAAUAAUCUGAAAUUUAGUUACCGUGGACCCCACCACUGAAACAACGGUCAAGUCUCCUGCUUUGUCUCUUAAAAGAAACAAAACCAUAUGCAAAUACUGCCAACAGCGUACAAAACAUCAGGGUGUUCCCCGACUCUACCAAAAGCGUUUAUACCCGUUUCAUUUAGUAUUCUGGGGACUCGUGCUUCUCCAGGUAUAUUGUAUUAUGCAUUGUUUCUCGGGGAACCGUGGCACUUUCUGAAUUCGGUGCGGGCUAAAAUUCCGCCUCUUGAGCAAUGCGGACUGGCUUUUCACUUACUCCCUCGAAUCGUCCAAACGGGAGACAAUUAUCACUUCAUUAAUCUCCUGGGAAAUCAGAGCUUCAAGCUUCCAGGUAUGUGUCAGAGAGUUACAGUGCAGCUCUCAGUUGCACAAAGUGAGGAUGAGCGUGGUACACGGUCCAGGAUUUCUGCAGCCAAGACGUCUCAGCAGCACACUGAAUUGACUUGAUGGAUAUCGCUCAUUCUAACUUGCUGAAGCACACACGCACACUUUCCUCAUUUAGAGGUUUAUAAACCUGGUAGCAGGGACUUAAAAACGUGGAUUUUUUUUCUGCAAAUAUCUUUAUAGAUUGUCUUUAAAAUAUGGCACAACUGAUGCUUCCAUUUAAGGGAAAUUCUCGAUAUAAGAAA